rnacentral:lncRNA from 1 species
CACAUAGUAGAAAGUAAUUUUUAAAAAUUUUUAAACAAGCAAAUCAAUAACCUUAUGAAAUAAAACUAUGGAGCCGAACGCAAAACCCUAGAAUCACUUUGCCGAUCAUGAUCAAAGCAAAUUUAAGCAUACAAAGAGAUAGAAAUUUAUACUUUAAUCAAUAUAAAAAAGUAGCACAUUGAUGCUUUCCACAAGACCUCAAGGUAGAAGUCCUCCAACGGUGAUCUAUAUGGAAGUUGGCCAAAGUCUUUCCUAACUGGUGCGCUAUCGCAGCCUUGUCUUUCGAACUUGCAUGA